CAACACCGGAUCCUUAACCCACUGAGCGAGGGCAGGGAUUAAACCUGUGUCCUCAUGGUUACUUAGAUUCAUUUCGACUGAGCUGCAAUGGGAACUCCUUAAACUACUUUUCUUACUUCUAAUAGAAGAACCUAUCUUGAGGGGCUGUUUGAUUGGUACAUAUCUGGAGUCUUGAGAGGACAACUCUUAAAAGGAUAGAGCUGUAGAUGACAUAGUGUCACCCUUUGUAUGUGGAUGGGAAAUAUUACAGUCUUCAAUCAACCUGAAACAGUGUUGAUGUACACAGACGGCAUUUAACUGGGUCCAUUAGGUUUUAGAGGGUAAGUGUUCCUCUCAGUCUUAAAAACAGCAGGAUGUGUAUGGACAGAUGAGGGCUCAUACAGCGAAAUGUGUGCAGGUAAGAACAGAAUGCCCGAAAUGCCCCGGGAACCGUUUUUUUCUCUCUAGCCAUUGGAUAUGAGGAAAUACACUAACAGACACUAGUUAAUACUUAUUUACAGCAAUUUGUUCCCCUUGGAUAACUCAUUUUUCAAUCCAGGUUGAACUUGAUUUCAAUCCCUGUUAAAAGGGCAAAUAACCCGUUUGUAGAGGAUCAGACUCAUUCCUAACUGGAAAUGUCUGUUAAACGCCUCCCUGCUCUCUGGGUUGAGACCAUAUAAUUUUGUGCCCCAGAGAUGAGGGGUAGUUGUUUACAAAAGAGAUUCGUGUUUAGGACAUCCAGACUCUACCCUUAGAGCAGAGAUCAAAUAGCAGAUUAGACUAGCCAGAAAGUAUAGUUUGUGUGUGCGUGUGUGCGCACCUGCCGUGCAUGCAUGUACCCACGUGCCGCGCACACGAGCGCCCACUGCACAGCUUGCCUGGGGUCGUAGAUGAGCUAACAGGAAGGAUGCUUGAAUUAUUUAAUGUCUACAUAUCCUUUACCACAGUUCUAUCAUCACAUUAUAAAUGCUUUUUCAUUUUUUAUUAGGAAUUUAUUUUUGAACCUUUAUCUUUUUCACCCAACUUAAACCACCAUUAAUGCAUUUGAUAAGUUUCUAUCAAGUUCUAAAGACACAAUCCAAGUAGUUUCUUCCGUCUUCCUGCCCUGUUAUCCACAAUGACCAUGGUACUUUAAUUCGGUCAUUGCAUCACAAUGAAAGCAGAAUUGAUCUGUGCCACCUCCACCAAACCUCUUCCAUUCUUCUGGAAAGGUCACCUGACAUUUUUUAAGGAUUCCAAUAAAUACUUAGUAGUCAUUCCCUAAACACCUUUCCUCCCUUUUGCUUUUUUGUUUGUUUGUUUCACUUCCUAAUCCCCACCUCCAGUUUCUUCAGCAGCCUCUGUUCACUUGCACGGUUUUCUGCUGAGCAGCACUGAUAAUCUUGUGUCUGUUUAUGCCUCUAUUCUUUGGGGCCUCUAAGUGUUUUUGUGGAUUUUUACAGGGUCUCUCUGUAUAAAUCGAGCAUGUCUUUUGUUAAACAUUGUUACAAGCGGUGAUCGUAGGAGUGUGUGUCUAGAAGGAUGAGGGUAUCUGGCAGAGUAUGUGAUGUGUGUGUAGAUGAAUAUGAAAGUGAAGGAUUAAUGUGAAAAUGUUUAUAUGUCCAGUUACGGUUCACAGUGGGGCUGAGAAUCCUUACUGUGUUCCUGUCUGUGUUUGGAAAGUGGUAGUUUUCAUAAUGUGCUCUUUUUACCCUACCUCUAACUGACUUCACUCGCAGUGCCAAAUGCCUGUGGUGAGGGGAGGUGGAAAACAUUCAUUAGGUCCAGAGUCCUUGUAAACCAGUGAAUUAGCUCCGGGCUGGUGGACAUGCUCAUGGGUGGACCAGCCAGCAUCUUAGACAAUGUAGCAAAGACCUGGGCAUCUCCACAGAGGCGUGUUGGAGGAAUCACAUCAUGGAGAGCGGAAAUCAAGAUCUUGUGUUGGUUGUAGUUUGUUUCUCUUGGGCUAGCAGUAAGUAGAAUUAUGAGUAAUUCUGCCCUUAUUACAUAAACAAAGCACGUGGGUCUCAAUGGCUUUAUCCUGAAAAAUGUGCAUGGAACUAACCUGUGGCCACUUGUUCUCAGAUUGGAAGAACUGUCAGUGUAGAUAAAAUCCAUUAUUUAUUACUGACUGGCAUGACAUUUGAAAAUAAGCCUACACAGUAUUUAUCAGUAAAAGAACUAGUCAUGAGCAUCAGAAUAUGUUCAGCACGUACCAGGCUGGGGUGGGAGACUCUGUAGUGUGCUUUCUGUAGCAGCUUCCUCAGAGCGGACACUGCAGACAAGGGAGGGACCAGGGAUCAUGGCUCACUCGGUUCUAUAAUUCCAGCCCCAGCAUAGGGUCUGACUUGUGUCCCAUGAUUAAAUGAAUCCUUGCCAAGAUCUCUUAUUCCCUCAGGUUGUUGAGAAACCUUCUAAUUUUUCCUGAUACCUCUUCCCACUCUUCAUCAGCUAGUUAGCAAGAAGGCAAAUGAGAUGAAACAUUUCUAAGACUCUAAGCAGAAGAGGGAUGGAGGAUACACACCAGGGGUGCCAAGAGGCAGCUCUUUGCUCUCUACUUUCCUGAUGGGAGGAGGGCAGGGCAUUAUAUAUUUAGUAGCUUGCAUCAUUUGAUGCUCAGUGCAAAGAGGUGCCCUCAGGGUACCAUUAAAGAUGCUUAAAAGUUUUUGGAGUAGGCUGCCUGGGCUGACCUUACAUCUCCAAAGCUGGCGUAGUUGGUUUGCACUGGAGCUCAUUGUCUUUUUGUCUCCUCAGUGUCUUACUGAGAGACUCCUCUGAGCUUUACCUACUUAAGUCAGUAAGCAUCCUACCAAAUUCCCUCAAUUUCAGUCAAGUAAGACAAGCUGCAGGGGUGCCAGACGUAAGUGGGGGAGGGGGAAACUUGGUCUACAUUUAGAAGAAAUAAAACCUAUACUUUUUAAAGGAAAAAGUUGUAAGAAUUCCUUGGCACAUUGAAUUAUUUAUAGCUUUUGAGAUGUAAAGUAGACUCCUGUGAACCCACAAGAGAAGCAGUGCAAUAAAAAUGUCUCUGUGUGUCACUCGCAGUCACAAGUCAUUUCUGUGCGAGUUGCGUUCAUUCCAGAAAAUGGCAUCAUCCUCUGCAAAAGAAGAGGAUGAUUUUUAAAGUGGGAUUUGGUAACAGAUGAUGUGGUGUGGGCUGGGGAGGGGUGAUGGGGAUUUGAUUUGUCCAGCCUCUUGAGCGCUUCCUUCAGUACCUCGAUUUAAGAACAAAGAUCGGAGGAGGGGGGGGACUAGACAGCAGUAGAGUAUGUAGAACAGCGAAAAGCCAUCACUGAGUAUUCAGAUUUUGAGCUGUGUAAAUAUCAAAUAUCAGCUUCCAGCCUUGUGAGUUGUUUGAGCAGAGAGUUAAGGAGGAAAGGGAGAUGAUUUUGUGAAUAAAAUAUUUUGCCAAACAAAUUGAGGGAGUCUUUUUGAUGUGAUUUCUUAUAAAGAGCAGUUUUCUGUCUUCUGAAACAACUCAUCAGACACCUGGUUUUUAUCUUGAAUUGCACAAGCAUUGUUUCUUAAUAAAAGUGAUAAAUUUCUUGCAGGUGUUUCCAAUCACCAUUACCUUUCAAGCGCUUGUGUGCAGUUUCAAAAGCUCUCCAAUUUUUGCCUUCUACAGUGGUGGAACAUUUUACUACAAACAAUUGUAAGCAACCUGUCUUCUAAUGCCUGGCACCUGGAUCAAUCAUAAACCACUUCUCAGGCCACAGAUGGCAGUCACUUGUGUUUCCUAACCUUGAAGAAGUGGCCUUUUGUAGAAGACGUCCUAUGAGUCCCAGCAGCACACUCCUCUUUGGUUACCAGUGCUAUGUGCUCUGGUGAGCUCCACUUGCUUCCUAUAUCUCCAAGAAACUCUCCAAGAUCAUCACCAGACUUUAGGAUCUGUUCUGCAGCACAAGUGAGAAGAAAAUAGAAGACGGUGGAUCAAGAUGGCGAAGUGGCAGGAUGGUGGCACUCACCUCCCACCAAACACAUCAAAAAUACAUGUACACGUGGAACAGAAAAUUAACUGAAAGAAAAUCUCCUAUACAACCAGGGCUGCAAGAACAAUUCUCACAUAAUCAGGUAGGACUAGGAAAAAUAUUGAGUUGGGACCCGUGCUCCUGGGAGGAGACUAAGAGGAAAAGGGAGUUUGCGUAGGUAGAUGCUCAUCCUGGGGAAUGAGCAGUUCAAGCCAUAGAUGGGGCAUCCCAAUCCUGGGGUCCUACGUGGAAGAGACACCCCCUGUCCCCCACCUUGGUGCUUAGAGAACCACUAAGACAGAGGGAAGGGCUGGAGAAGCCUAGACUCCACUUGCCAGGAAUGUGCAAGGGCUGGCUUGCCACCAGACAGGGCAGAGAAAGGUUGGUUUGCCCUAGCACCUCUCACUUUGCCACACUCUUAAAUCCAGGUUGAGUUAACCAUUUGGCCUGCUCACUCCACAUCACAGCUUGGCACUGGACCUAAGGCAGCCAGGUGUUAGGAAAGGAUGUGAUUUAUUGAUGAAGAGGUGGCCCAGGGACCCAGGGUGUGGUCCUGGUGGGGAAGUGAUGGGUAGUGGUGCUUACUCAGACAGUGCCACAGAAACAGUGUCUGCAGGCAGUGCAGCUGCUCAAACUCCUGCAAGGAACACACUGCAGUGUCCCCCCAGCAACCGAAUGGAUGUUCCAGACCACCCACCUACACCACAGCCUUGCUCUGGAAUGACCACAGCAGGGGAAAAGAUGCUACCUUGGACUUUAUCUGAGCAGAGCUGCGGACUCCUACACAGGUAGUAAGUACAUCAGACCUCUCUCUAAGCACAUGAGCCUCACGUACUUCUACACUCUUCUCCUUUGGGGCAAAGGCCCCAGUGUAGGGAGAAGGAAGAACACACACUUAAAUGGAACAGACCCAGCAACUUGGGAGCAAACCCCACCCCUGACAGGGUGGCCUCUGGCACUGAGCAGAAAUGGAAGUCCUGCCUCACACCCUACACAGGCUCUAGCUCCUCCAUCACCAGCCACAUCCCUUUAUCAAGUGAUAGUGGCCACAACAGCCCGAGGGAAGAUGUGGCUGGUGUCCACGUCGGAUCUCGUCCUCACACCAAAGACACUGGGCACAUACAGUCCACACAGGGCCACUCCCACAUCCAAACACCCAAUAGGAAAGGAAACUAUAAAUAAGCAUUGACGAUCACUUAAGCCGGUAUGUAGAUUUAAAACCAAACCAAAAAUUUAUAAAAGUGAUUUUAACUAAAAUAAAUAAUAAAGAGAUCAGCAUUGAGAAGUAAAAUAUAUAGAAAACAAUGUGGGGGAGGGGAGUAAAAAUGUAGAUCUUUUAGAAUAUGUUUGAAUUUAUCAGUUUAAAGCAAAUAGGUAUGAUUACUGUCAACAUAUAUGAACCCCAUGAUAACCACAAAUCAAAAACCUACAACAGAUACACACAAACUAGAAAGAAGGGAAUGCACGCACACCACAAAAGAAGAGAUGGAGUUCCCAUGGCGGCUCAGUGGAAACGAAUCUGACUAGUAUC